GAAGACCCUUUUGGUAGUGGGACUAGAUCCUGCAUCGAAGGGACAAAACCAUGCGAGAGUGUAGUACCUACACGGACCCCUUAGAGUGGACAAUACCUCAUGACUGGGGGGCCGGCCUUCGUUUUCCAUGACCUCGAUAAGGUCAUCAAUAUCGCUUUCAAAUGGACCUUAUGACUUUGGUGCAAAGCCUUAGAACCGAAGCAAGCACAACAACCUUGAAGUCCAACACGCUAAACGUUAUUACCCGUAGUAGGUAACAAGCUAUGGAAGGAUUCAUGUCACUUCCCACUUAAUUCCUACUGACCCAUAUGCUUUGCUGUAUGACACCCUAAACAAAUAUCAUUUUGUCUCGAAGUCAUCCGUGUAGAGGAGGCCAUCAAGCUCGUUAGGUAUAGCAGUGACCAAAGAGACUUUGGAAUAUAGCAACAAGAGUCGCAACAUCACCAAAGUCUCCACCGUCCUACAGGCUACAGGAUCCCAAGCACAGGCACAGGCAGAAUCAGGACCGGUUCAGAGACAAAUCCAAGUCAUCAAUGGCAAGGUUGCUAUCGGUCAUCUGGUAAAGAUAAUGAAGAAUA
rnacentral:lncRNA from 1 species